rnacentral:lncRNA from 1 species
GUUUGCAAGUAUUUUGAUGCUGAAAUUGAUCAAAUUAUAGAUACUUUAACGGUAUUUUUUUCAUUUGUUAAUAAGUUACCUAAAACGAAGUCUUUGUAUAAACAGACCUUGGUUAUUCGUUGUCAUUUAGCCCAUACCGCAUGGUCAAUUAUAAAAGGCCCCGAAAUGACAAAUGUAAAACAAUUCAAACGGGAAAACUAACCGGCCUAAUUUAUGUGCAAAAAAAUGAACGAAAAACAAAUAUGUUACACAUCACCAAACCAAAACCAC